rnacentral:rRNA from 1 species
GCGAGUGAAGCGGCAACAGCUCAAAUUUGAAAUCUGGCCUCGCGGCCCGAGUUGUAAUUUGCAGAGGAUGCUUCUGGCGCGGUGCCCACCGAGUUCCCUGGAACGGGACGCCAUAGAGGGUGAGAGCCCCGUCUGGUGGGACACCAAGCCUGUGUGAAGCUCCUUCAACGAGUCGAGUAGUUUGGGAAUGCUGCUCUAAAUGGGAGGUAAAUCUCUUCUAAAGCUAAAUACCGGCCAGAGACCGAUAGCGCACAAGUAGAGUGAUCGAAAGAUGAAAAGCACCUUGAAAAGGGGGUUAAACAGUACGUGAAAUUGUUGAAAGGGAAGCGCUUGUGACCAGACAUGCGCCCGGCGGCUCAUCCGGCGUUCGCGCCGGUGCACUCCGCCGGGCUGCAGGCCAGCAUCGGUUCUCGUGGGGGGACAAGAACGGUAGGAAUGUGGCUCCCUUCGGGGAGUGUUAUAGCCUGCCGUACGAUACCCUCGUGGGGACCGAGGCCCGCGCAUCUUGCAAGGAUGCUGGCAUAAUGGUUACUAGCGACCCGUCUUGAAACACGGACCAAGGAGUCGUCCAUUAGAGCGAGCGUUUGGGUGUCAAACCCGCACGCGUAAUGAAAGUGAAACUUUAGGUGAGAGCUUCGGCGCAUCAUCGACCGAUCCUGAUGUUCUCGGAUGGAUUUGAGUAUGAGUUUUAACGGACGGACCCGAAAGACAGUGAACUAUGCUUGUAUAGGGUGAAGCCAGAGGAAACUCUGGUGGAGGCUCGCAGCGGUUCUGACGUGCAAAUCGAUCGUCAAAUAUGAGCAUGGGGGCGAAAGACUAA